UACGUAGGCAGCGAGCGUUGUUCGGAGUUACUGGGCGUAAAGGGUGUGUAGGCGGUUUUCUAAGUUUGGUGUGAAAUCUCCCGGCUCAACCGGGAGGGUGCGCCGAAAACUGGGAGACUAGAGUGCGGGAUGGGAGAGUAGAAUUCCUGGUGUAGCGGUGAAAUGCGUAGAUAUCUGGAGGAACACCGGUGGCGAAGGCGGCAUCCUGGACCAACACUGACACUGAGGAGCGAAAGCCAGGGGAGCAAACGGG
rnacentral:rRNA from 1 species